AUUGAACGCUGGCGGCAGGCCUAACACAUGCAAGUCGAACGAGUGGAGGACGUGUGUGGAGUGUCUGGGACACUGCCUUCUGGAGGGGGAUAACUACUGGAAACUGUCACUAAUACCGCAUUCCCUAAGCUGUGCCCAGAUGGGAUUAGCGAGUUGGUGGGGGAACGGUUCACAAAGGCGAAGAUCACUAGCUGGUCUGAGAGGAUGAAGAGCCACACUGGAACUGAUACACGGCCCAGACUCCUACGGGAGGCAGCAGUGGGGAAUAUUGCACAAUGGGCGAAAGCCUGAUGCAGCCAUGCCGCGUGUAUGAAGAAGGCCUUCGGGUUGUAAAGUACUUUUAGCGGGGAGGCGUUACCCGCAGAAUAAGCAACGGCUAACUACGUGCCAGCAGCCGCGGUAAUAC
rnacentral:rRNA from 1 species